CCUGCCCCAUCUCGUGUUGCAGGCGUGGCUGCAGUGCCACGUUUGUGUCAUUCGGUGGCAGAAAGGAACAGGCGAUGUCUUCCCUGGUGCUCUGAGCCCUGUGAGCUCCCAGGAUUGCUCAACAACCUGACACU
ensembl:snoRNA